rnacentral:rRNA from 1 species
GAUGAACGCUGGCGGCGUGCCUAAUACAUGCCAGUCGAGCGAACAGACGAGGAGCUUGCUCCUCUGACGUUAGCGGCGGACGGGUGAGUAACACGUGGAUAACCUACCUAUAAGACUGGGAUAACUUCGGGAAACCGGAGCUAAUACCGGAUAAUAUAUUGAACCGCAUGGUUCAAUAGUGAAAGACGGUUUUGCUGUCACUUAUAGAUGGAUCCGCGCCGCAUUAGCUAGUUGGUAAGGUAACGGCUUACCAAGGCAACGAUGCGUAGCCGACCUGAGAGGGUGAUCGGCCACACUGGAACUGAGACACGGUCCAGACUCCUACGGGAGGCAGCAGUAGGGAAUCUUCCGCAAUGGGCGAAAGCCUGACGGAGCAACGCCGCGUGAAUGAUGAAGGUCUUCGGAUCGUAAAACUCUGUUAUUAGGGAAGAACAAAUGUGUAAGUAACUAUGCACGUCUUGACGGUACCUAAUCAGAAAGCCACGGCUAACUACGUG